GGUUGUGGCUCAGUGGUAGAGCGCUUGCCUAGCAUGUGUGAGACACUGGGUUUGAUUCUCAGCACCA
rnacentral:tRNA from 1 species